rnacentral:rRNA from 1 species
UACGUAGGGUCCAAGCGUUAAUCGGAAUUACUGGGCGUAAAGCGUGCGUAGGCGGUUUCGCAAGUCCGAUGUGAAAUCCCCGGGCUUAACCUGGGAACUGCGUUGGAAACUACGAAGCUAGAGUGCGGCAGAGGGGGGUGGAAUUCCAGGUGUAGCAGUGAAAUGCGUAGAUAUCGAGAGGAACACCUGCGGCGAAGGCGGGUUGCUGGGCUGACACUGACGCUGACAGCGCGAAAGCUAGGGGAGCGAACGGG